CUUGCUAUGAACUCCUGAUAUGUUAUGAUUCAUACUUUCACUUCUGUUUCUUAAUACUAUCAUUUUGAAAAAGUGAAAAUGAAACUGUUUCAUUGGUGAACAGUUCACAAGGGAGAAGAAAAGUCCUUCUGCCUCACCAUCCUAGAGCACUGGGAUUACAAGAAUGCACCGUCAUGGCUGGAUACACACAGGUAUGAGGUGGCCUGGACAUCUGAGGUAGCCCGGACAUCUGAGGCACCAGAGACCUUCCACUUAGAGAAGACCACAGAGUUACAUCCACGUGUUCCAGAGCAUUAGGUGGAUUGCAAGGAAGUACAAUUUCUCUUUGCCUCUUUCAGAAGAAAUACAUAGUUUUAACUGCAUGAAUCUUCUCCAAAUGGGCAAAAUUUAAAAGAUUUUUUUAAACAAAGGUCAUACUAAAAUGCAAGAAUUUUCACUGCUGAAAGGCAACAUUUUCACUGUUGCCAGUUAUCCUCAUGGUGCAGUCCUGAGUACCUGGAAUCCCAGCUAUACAAGAGGCUGAAGCAGGAGUAUCACGAGUCCAGACUAGAGACAGCAGAGCCAGACCUCAUCUCAAGAGCUAUAAAAGAAAACAACAAGAGGAAAACCAGCAAAAAACAGCCAAGCUCCACUGCCUUCAAAAUAAUAAGUCAGAAGUUACUUGUGUUUUGAUAGUAACCAUGAAGAAGAGUAUAAACAAAGAUAUUCAUUAUGAAGUAGAUUACUGUUGAAGAGAUUUUGCUGCCAGGAGUGGAGCACCUUUCCUGUGCCAUGCCCUUCUGCCGUGAUGCCUCUGCUUUGCAGUCAGCUGACCAUGGACUAAAAUCCCUGAAACUCUGAGCUAAAAUAAAUCUUUCCUCCCUUAAGUUGUGGGUGUCAGAUAUUUUGUCAGGACAGCGAAAAGGUGGCCAAUAUGCAAGAUGUUUAAAUUCUGGAGAUCUCACGUAAAGUAAAGUGACAGUACUGCAUUGUACACUUGAAAUUUGCUGAGAGUGGAUCUUAAGUGUUCUCACCAAACACAAUAAAGUAGCUACAUGAUGGUGUGCACCUGUUAUUUAGCUCAGUUGUAGUGGUCAUUUCAUAAUGUACACAUAUAUCAAAGCAUCAUGUUGUACUAUAUAUAUAUAUAUAUAUAUAUAUAUAUAUAUAUAUAUAUAAUUUUCAUUUGUAAUUCAUGCCUCAGUAAAGCUGGGAAGAAAAUCCUAAAGAGAAAAUCAAUAAAUGAGUAAAAACAUAAAGUAAAAAUUUGUAAAGCUUAAAACUGUCAAUAA
rnacentral:lncRNA from 1 species